rnacentral:rRNA from 1 species
GGGCGCAAGCCUGAUGCAGCCAUGCCGCGUGUGUGAAGAAGGCCUUCGGGUUGUAAAGCACUUUCAGCGGGGAGGAAGGCGGUGAGGUUAAUAACCUCAUCGAUUGACGUUACCCGCAGAAGAAGCACCGGCUAACUCCGUGCCAGCAGCCGCGGUAAUACGGAGGGNRNAARCGUUAAUCGGAAUUACUGGGCGUAAAGCGCACGCAGGCGGUCUGUCAAGUCGGAUGUGAAAUCCCCGGGCUCAACCUGGGAACUGCAUUCGAAACUGGCAGGCUAGAGUCUUGUAGAGGGGGGUAGAAUUCCAGGUGUAGCGGUGAAAUGCGUAGAGAUCUGGAGGAAUACC